AAUGGAGCGGGACACUACAACUCCCAGUGUGCCUCGCGCUCCGGCUGAUCCACGUGGACCUCACCCUCAAUGCAAUGGAGUUGAGCUUCAAAAUAACAAGAGAUGUACUGGAAAAGGACAAAAGGCAUGGAUCGAGAGGCGACAUGCAGUGAGACUAGCAGGACUGUGGCUUACCAUUACCUGAUAAGACAGUAGCUGAUUGGAAAAUCCUGAACAGAGAAGAGAUGGACAGAACCCAGAAUGUAAUUUGGAAUACAGACACAAACGUCUGCCUACCCAGAGCUCAGACACAGUGAUCAUCUAUAAGCUUCA